ensembl:lncRNA
GGCAAACGUUUGGCAGAGUAAUUACACGCCGCACUGCUCUGGGAGUGAUUAGUGAUAGUUGUCUGUUCAAAGUGUUUGGAGCUCACAGCCUUUAUGGGCUAUGCUUGCCUUCCCCUCCGCCUAAUGUUCAGUUUGCAUUUGCAUCCGGAAGAGAGUUGCAUGUGUCAACAUAAACAGUGCGCCCUCCGGAGCUCGCCGAGUGUGCACUUGCUUGAGUUUCACCGAUGCCCGAAAUACAUUCGACUUUAAUAUCCAGGGGGGAGAUUAUCACAUUAUUGUGCAUAUUUCACGACUGAUCUAUUACGCUUUUGUUAACCCUGACACGUGAGUUAGCCAGGAUCUUAUUAUAAAUUUGCAUCGCAAAAAAGCAUGUGCUCUUAACGUGUUUUGAAACAAACGUGUGUAUUUAAAAGCACUUCAAGCUGUAUCACUGGGCCUGGCUAUGCUCAUAGUCGGCCCAUUGCGCAAAUGACACGAUAUAAUGCCUCCCUCGCCUAAAAUCCACAAAAGUCCCCUCCACUCCCAGGUCAGAUGACACGGAGAUGCAUCACAAUCAACGUGCUCAGGUGGUGCGGCGGCGGCGGCUGCCAGCCUUUGAUGUCCCCGCUGUGUUUGUGUUGGCCAGCCACGCUGUCCCGGCACAACCCGCAGAUGUGCCUGCAAGCUGCAAGGCAUGGGAGAGGGAACUUAAUACCGCAGCACUGGGAGAUGGAGAAUGUGACUGGGCACGCGUGGAAUGCUGAGUAGCAGGAGGAAAACAGCAAUCUAAAUUUCUAAUGCCGAGGAUGUUUCCCAUUCUGCGUUUAUGAAACAUGGCUGCCGGGACUACAAAGUGCAGCAGGCCCCGAAUCAACCCUGCGGUCCCAUUCCUCGCUCCCCGCCAUGGCUGCGAGUGGGAGGCAGAACACGACCUGCCAAAGUGGCCGCGGAGGAAGGGAGGAGAGGUGACGUUGUGGAGGAGAAUCCCUCAAUCGGGGAACAAAAGAACACGAAAAGCGGGCGAGCCGAGGUGUCCGCGGCAGGGGCGGGAAGUGGCUGUUGACCCGAGUGCGGCGACCGAGGCAGAGACUGCAUGUCUGAUGGCGGCGAGGCAGCGUAUCGCUUACAGGCUCCCUCAGCAGAAGCCCCCCGCAUGUCCGUCUCCAGCCACAGAGUUUGCCCUCUACUUAAGGCAACAAGAGUCGGGCUCAGCAUUACAAGCCUAUUAAAAGAUACUUUUAAUUAUGCCCCCCCCCCUCUCCCGGGAUCGCUUCUUUGAUGAACUCUGUGUUUCUUUGGCAUGUGCACUUAGGAAUGGCACAACCAGAAGCACGUGUUGUUUUCUCCCUCCAAUUAAAGGGCAUGUUGACAGAUUAAGGCUGCUUCUGGUUUGUGCUCCACUAACGCAUUUAGGGAAGAUGAUGAACAAGGGGAGGGGGGGUCUCACAGAGAGUCAGAGAGAGAGAGUGAGGCUGAUAGAAGGAAGAGAAAAAUAGAAAAGAAAAAAAAAACAUGCACAUGAACCCUGAGGGAUUAAUGUGUUUACAUUACCUGGGCUGUGAUCUAUCACCAACCUCGUCAACUUCUAUUAUGCAUCACAUACAUAAGCGAGCAACAGACCUGGGAGCCCUUGCAACUCACUCAUACUAUUUCAAUUGGAUUAAGUCAGUGCAAAUAUCUAGGGCACGGCUCCCACACUGUGGUUUUAGCAUUCUGGUAGUCAUUUGAUUUGUACGUUGUAUCACUUUACCUCGUCGAAGGCGUUUGCCGGAGAACCUCCUACGUGCCUCCUGAGCUUUUGAGUUGUAUGGGAUUUAGAUGAUUACCAUAUGGCACCUAUAUAGCACCUUCGAAAACCAACAUGAAAUCAUCCGAAAGGUCUGGUUUGACAACAGUCGGGCAUGGAAGCCCUCGGAUUCAUGAACCAGAAUAUACAGGUACACACCAGUGAGAGGAAUAAGGGAAUGUUAACGGUGUAGAUUCACCAUCAGCGAUGUUCUCCAACGUGAGGUUUACGUUGUCCCAGCUGUAGCAGCAGAUCUGUAUUGUGUGUAAAACACCCGGUUGGAGAGGUCUGGCCUCAGUGUGUUAGUGCUAACAGUGGAGGCUGCAGCAGGGGGCCCGGAAGGGCUCAUACUCACACCCAGGCUUCAUUAUAUCCAAUCAAUAUUCAUUUAGUCACUGAGCCUAUUGACUCGUUUCUGAAGUAAUAUUACAGGUCAUUUGUCUUGUCACGGCACAAGGAGAAUUAUCCAUUUUUAUACCACUUGGAAAAUGGGGCCGAGUCUGGAAAUGCUCUGUGGAUACAACUGUAAAUAAAUAUUUUUUGAUAAAACACUGAAGGAAAAAAUCAAUGGGUGCUUCCUGUGAUCCAUCUCGGCCGAAUCAAUCAUCAUCUGCGCAGCUGGCAGUGUGCUGCGGGAGGACGGCGAGUCGGCGAGAGGAGGCUGCAAUCUCUGUCUGAUACCUCUCAUUUUGGAAUCGCUUCUCAUAAUAGGGUCAUCAUUU